UUCGUAAACGGAAACCUUAAUUUCUUCUAGUCUCAUACUGUGACUGGACUCUAGUAUGCUUCGCCACUCGAUUAAUACAAAAUGACACGAAGUACGAAAAGACAGUAUCAGACGCAGUAUUUUAAAAGGGAUAUCUAAAGUCACGAUCGUUUAUAGGAUUUCUGUAUGUCUCUUCCGUUAGUCACGUCACCUAAGGUUAUAACUACGUUCUUUUUACGGAAACCCAACUUCGGGUGAAUGAUUAUAAGAGUACCAGAGAGAGAGACACACACACAUCGAUAAGGAUAAACACUAAUAGUAGAACAUCCUACAAUUAGUCAUGGAAUGGAAACUGAAGGUAAGUUUCAACUUCGCUAAUAAUGAAUAGAUAAAUAGACAAAGUUACUUAUUCGGGUGAAUGAUUAUAAGAGUACCACAAAAUUGUUUAUAUAUAUGGUAGCCGAACUGCCGCUCCUCCCUUCGGGGCGUCUAGCUCCUCCUGCCGCGCUGCUGACACGACAUCCACUUCUCGUACCAGUACAGUACCAUGGCGUAUAACCACCACCAGGCGAAAGGACGAUACCGCAGGUUGUGCUGAUGUGGGAAAAUGAACCGGACGAUAAACUAACCCUCCCACGAGAAAACGAAAUUUCUGUACUAACCACCUACAUAAAACCAAAAUACUACCGGUCCAACUCGUUUUAGUGUACAAAAAAAAAGUUCAAACUCUUCUUUUUCUGUGGCCUUGUCAGACUAUUUCAUCUAGAUACGAUCGUUGAUCGUAGUAGUAAGAAACACGACCUAACCAGUUUGCAACCUGUAAACUUCUCUUCCUUGAAGCACACUCUAAUUAUAGAAAGACUAGUCAUCGUAGUGGGCACUGUUCCUAAAUAUUACUUACCGGUAAUCUUCUCUCCUUUCCUGCCUGUCUUCCAAACGAUGUGUUAACUUGUACAAGGUAAUAACUAACCAAAAGUUAUAACCACGUAGACCCAGGGUGCGGCACCGCACCUGUGCCACCGGGACGGCUUCGCCCACACCAGCUCGGUGACCUACUACAUCGGCCACCGAGGUCAGUGCGUGUAGCCGACCAGGACGAGGCCGCUCGUCGGCGACGGGAAGGACAGGACUAUAACGGAACGUAGAGGAAAUCCACUCCCACAACCUGCGGCUCGUCCCUCAUUUUUUAACACCUCGACAGUCAGGCAUUUGCGAGAACAUUGUGAAAAUGAAUAGGUGUGGGCUUUUCGUCGAUUCGACGUCAAACAAUCACUACACGAUGUCAAAGUGAACAUACCUUUCUCUGCUC
rnacentral:rRNA from 1 species